GCGGUUAGAGCAGGUGUCACCCCCAACGGCCCUCGGUGCGAGCAGGCGGCGGCGGUGGCAGCGGUGGUGUGUGGGGGGAGGCGCAGACAGUUGUGGCCGAGCAAACGCACAAGCGAGCCCACCUGAUAAACACCGGUUGAGCUGUAACUCCACAGUUAUGAAGAUAGUUCUGACGGAUGAAUUGUUACCAGAUAGCGUUUUAAUAUAAAUGGAGGAUAAGACAGCACUCAAGCAAAAUGAAAGCAAUAUGUACAAAUUGGAAAGUGGAGUCCUGUGGCUGGAAAUAUGUCUUAUGAUACCGUAUGACUGAUACGUGAAACUCACAGCUGCUAGAUAUCUCUGAGGAGAAGAGUUUGAGAGGUUCAGUAGAUGGUAA
rnacentral:lncRNA from 1 species